GUGCUCACGUCAGCAGCACAUAUAACUAAAAUUGGAACAAAACAGAGCAGAUUAGCAUGGCUCCUGCACAGGGAUGACAUGCAACUUUAUGAAGUGUUCCAUUUUUUU